rnacentral:rRNA from 1 species
GACGAACGCUGGCGGCGUGCUUAACACAUGCGAGUCGAACGGCAAGGCCCUGCUUUCGUGGGGUGCUCGAGUGGCGAUCGGGUGAGUAACACGUGAGUAACCUGCCCUUGACUUUGGGAUAACUUCAGGAAACUGGGGCUAAUACCGGAUAGGAGCUCCUGUUGCAUGGUGGGGGUUGGAAAGUUUCUGCGGUCUGGGAUGGACGCGCGGCUUAUCAGCUUGUUGGUGGGGUAGUGGCUUACCAAGGCUUUGACGGGUAGCCGGCCUGAGAGGGUGACCGGCCACAUUGGGACUGAGAGACGGCCCAGAGUGCAACGGGGGACAGCAGUCGGGAAUAUUGCACAAUGAGCGGAAGCCGGAGGCAGCAACGCCGCGUGCGGGAUGACGGCCUUCGGGUUGUAAACCGCUGUCGCCUGUGACGAAGCGGGAGUGACGGUAAUGGGGAAAGAAGCACCGGCUAACUACGUG